rnacentral:tRNA from 5 species
GCCCGGGUGGUGAAAUUGGUAGACACAACGGACUUAAAAUCCGUCGCUAGGGUAAAACCAGCGUACCGGUUCGAUUCCGGUUCCGGGCACCA